CGGUUGGGGCGCCUAGAAGGGACCUAGCUGAGACGGCGGAGGUAGGAUGACGGGGUCUCCUAUAGCUCUACACUCGACCAGCUGUGUUAAGCCCUCGUCCGUAUACCUUAACCUAGCUCUAGGUGACGCAGUAGUUCAGCGAGACCCUUCCUCAAGCGUCGAGCGCAUGCACGAGAUGUCCUAGUCGGAUUAGAGAGACAGCGGCGACAACAACCGAACGUUAUCUGGUCUGAUAAAGGUCUCCAUGGUGUUUCACCAACUAAGUUUCAAGCGUGAUAAAUAUAGUAUCCUACCAUGUCUACCUCUUUUUUUAUUCCGUACCUCGAUAUGGGUUUAAAUACGUCGGGUUACUUCACAUAGCGGAACUCGAGGUAAUAAAUCCGGUCUAGAGUACUCUACACAACACUGUUAACGUAACCGUAUGUUAUUCGACAACAUACCACCAACGGAAGAACAUGUACUCGAACGCUGACACCCUCUAGUGCUGAACAAGAAAACUUAAAAAAACCAAGUAGUGUACUAGGAAGUUCGGUCGGUUCCCCCUCUAGUCACUUCUCCACUUCAUCUUUUACGACGUGCCUUAUCCUCCGUAUAGAAGUUGACCAAACUACGUACAACCUUCUCCGAACUUCACCGCCAGCAUUGUGUCAUUCAACCCUCCUGAGUUACCGUCUCAAUUAUAAUAGUUGUAAAAGGAACAAUCUGGGCUGUCAUAGACCACAACAAUCAAGUGUACCUGGUACUUCACCUCAGACUAGUGAGUAAUGGUGUAGUUGUCCAGGAGUUUCCCUCAUGCAUGGGGUGAUGCGACUCUAGGCCUGUAUGACAGAAGAGUUACCGAGGACAAUACUUUGUGAAGACUUGGGACGGACUUGAAUCACACGAUACGUUUAGUACUACGUGACCCACUACUGUGGCCUCCAUUCCGUCGCGCGGCCCAGUUCCUGCAGCGACUGUGGCCCCCGCUCCCGCCGCAGCACUGCUGCCGCAUAACUCCUCUCAAUCCCGACGUUCCGCCCAGCUCCUGCAGCGUCUCUGGUCCCCGCUCCCAGCGCACGGUUCCCGCCGGCCCGCCCCGCCCCGCCUCGCUCCUGCCGCCCUGCCGCACGGCUGCACUCCAAGCACCGCACCACCGCAACUAACGCCUCUAUCCCGUAAUAAGCGACCUACCUCAACAAUAGCAACCCUACACAUCCUCGGACCUGCACCCUCAGACGGCCGUCUUGUAAAGCAAACUUGGCAGCUAGACAAACAU
rnacentral:rRNA from 1 species